UGAGGAAUAUUGGUCAAUGGGCGCAAGCCUGAACCAGCCAAGUAGCGUGAGGGACGACGGCCCUAUGGGUUGUAAACCUCUUUUAUGCGGGGAUAACCGGUGCCACGCGUGGCGCCCUGCAGGUACCGCAUGAAUAAGGACCGGCUAAUUCCGUGCCAGCAGCCGCGGUAAUACGGAAGGUCCGGGCGUUAUCCGGAUUCAUUGGGUUUAAAGGGAGCGUAGGCCGCCCUUUAAGCGUGUUGUGAAAUGUAGGGGCUCAACCCCUGCACUGCAGCGCGAACUGGAGGGCUUGAGUACACGCAAGGCAGGCGGAAUUCGUGGUGUAGCGGUGAAAUGCUUAGAUAUCACGAAGAACCCCGAUUGCGAAGGCAGCUUGCCGGAGUGUGACUGACGCUGAAGCUCGAAAGCGCGGGUAUCGAACAGG
rnacentral:rRNA from 1 species